CACAAAAUUAUGCUAUUGGUAAAUUUAAAAGUUAGAGACCCAAUACUAUGCCAUUUAUAUAACAUGUGAAGAAUGCCAGAGGCUGAGAUGUCUUGUCAGCACAUCCAGUACUGAUUAUGUAACUUAGAUUAAAUCCUUUUACCUGUUAAGGGUCCCAAUUUCUUUUCUUCUGCAAGGUGGUAUUAAUAAUAUCACCUUAUCUCCUUCAAAAACUUUUUGUAAAAGAGCUCAAGCAGCAGUGGGAUAUGAUGGAAGAUUUAUAUUAUUAAUUUUUUACUAGCAUAGAGAAUUACCCAAAUAUUUUAAAUUUCAAUAAUAUAAAAACAAUUCUGUAGUUUUGAUAAUCUAUUCUUAUAUAUUUCAUUCUCAAUGAUGAUAUAUAAGAUAGAUCUAGAAGAUUAAGUCACAGGAUACACAGGAAAACUUGAUUUAAAAAUAUCUAAUGUAUGAGCCAAUUUUCUUAAGCCAUUUACAUAUCUUGCUGAAAAAUAGAAUGCUGGAAAGGGCUCAGAUAAAGGAUUUAGGUAAGGAAAUCCAAACAAGAGUUACUAUUUGAAGAUCUUUUAUUAUGAAUCAGGAACUUUACAAAUAUUGCUUGCCAUUUGACAAAUAACCCAGAAAGAUAAGAAAUAUUAUCUCAACUUCACACAGAAGGAAAUUGAGAUUAGAAAGAUUAAAUCAUGUGCCAAAUUUAUAUAGCUAGUUAAUCACUGACCUGGGAUUCAGCUCCUCUCCAGCUC
rnacentral:lncRNA from 1 species